rnacentral:rRNA from 1 species
GAGAUAUAUACUGUCUCAUAUAUAUUUGAUGAAUUUAAAUUUUUAGUAAAAAUGCUUAAAUAAUUUUAUGGGACGAUAAGACCCUAUAGAAUUUUAUAUUAAUAUUUUAUUAAUUAUUUAAUUAAAAUAUUAAUAUUUAAUUGGGAGGAUUAAUAAAUUUAAAAAACUUUAUUUUAAAAAUAAACUUUGAUUUUAGAAUUAAUUUUUGAUCUUUUAUUAUAAAUCAAAAGAAUAAAUUACCUUAGGGAUAACAGCGUAAUACCUUUUUAAAGAUCAUAUUUAAAAAGAUGUUUGCGACCUCGAUGUUGAAUUAAGAUAAAUUUUAAACGGAGAAGUUUAAUAAUUAAGUCUGUUCGACUUUUAAAAUCUUACAUGA